rnacentral:rRNA from 1 species
GACGAACGCUGGCGGCGCGCCUAACACAUGCAAGUCGAACGGAGCUGCGAGAAGCUUGCUUUUCUUAGCUUAGUGGCGAACGGGUGAGUAACGCGUGAGUAACCUGCCCUGGAGUGGGGGACAACAGUUGGAAACGACUGCUAAUACCGCAUAAGCCCACGAUCCGGCAUCGGAUUGAGGGAAAAGGAUUUAUUCGCUUCAGGAUGGACUCGCGUCCAAUUAGCUAGUUGGUGAGGUAACGGCCCACCAAGGCGACGAUUGGUAGCCGGACUGAGAGGUUGAACGGCCACAUUGGGACUGAGACACGGCCCAGACUCCUACGGGAGGCAGCAGUGGGGGAUAUUGCACAAUGGGGGAAACCCUGAUGCAGCGACGCCGCGUGGAGGAAGAAGGUUUUCGGAUUGUAAUCUCCUGUCGUUAGGGACGAUAAUGCCGGUACCUAACAAGAAAGCACCGGCUAACUACGUG